GACGAACGCUGGCGGCGUGCUUAACACAUGCAAGUCGAACGGUAAGGCCCUUCGGGGUACACGAGUGGCGAACGGGUGAGUAACACGUGGGUGAUCUGCCCUGCACUUCGGGAUAAGCCUGGGAAACUGGGUCUAAUACCGGAUAGGACCACUGCCUGCAUGGGUGGUGGUGGAAAGCUUUUGCGGUGUGGGAUGGGCCCGCGGCCUAUCAGCUUGUUGGUGGGGUGAUGGCCUACCAAGGCGACGACGGGUAGCCGGCCUGAGGGGGUGACCGGCCACACUGGGACUGAGAUACGGCCCAGACUCCUACGGGAGGCAGCAGUGGGGAAUAUUGCACAAUGGGCGCAAGCCUGACGCAGCAACGCCGCGUGAGGGAUGACGGCCUUCGGGUUGUAAACCUCUUUCAGCAGGGAAGAAGCGAAAGUGACGGUACCUGCAGAAGAAGCACCGGCUAACUACGUGCCAGCAGCCGCCGUAA
rnacentral:rRNA from 1 species